CUGAGAAUAUUCUGAGACUAUCCU
rnacentral:siRNA from 1 species